rnacentral:rRNA from 1 species
AGCAGCCGCGGUAAUUCCAGCUCCAAUAGCGUAUAUUAAAGUUGUUGCAGUUAAAAAGCUCGUAGUUGAAUUUCGGGAUCAAUAUGCUGGUCGUGCCAUUGGUACGUACUAGUAUUAUUGGUUUCUUCCUUCUGAUGAAUCAUGAUGUCAUUAAGUUGAUGUCAUGGGGAACCAGGACUGUUACUUUGAAAAAUUAGAGUGUUUAAAGCAGGCUCGCGCUUGAAUACAUUAGCAUGGAAUAAUGAAAUAGGACGUUUGAUUCUAUUUUGUUGGUUUCUAGAAUUGACGUAAUGAUUAAUAGGGAUAGUUGGGGGCAUUAGUAUUCAAUUGUCAGAGGUGAAAUUCUUGGAUUUAUUGAAGACUAACUACUGCGAAAGCAUUUGCCAAGGAUGUUUUCAUUAAUCAAGAACGAAAGUUAGGGGAUCGAAGACGAUCAGAUACCGUCGUAGUCUUAACCAUAAACUAUGCCGACUAGGGAUCGGAUGAUGUUAAUUUUUAAUGUA